GGAAUUACUGGGCGUAAAGCGUGCGUAGGUGGUCGUUUAAGUCCGUUGUGAAAGCCCUGGGCUCAACCUGGGAACUGCAGUGGAUACUGGGCGACUAGAGUGUGGUAGAGGGUAGCGGAAUUCCUGGUGUAGCAGUGAAAUGCGUAGAGAUCAGGAGGAACAUCCAUGGCGAAGGCAGCUACCUGGACCAACACUGACACUGAGGCACGAAAG
rnacentral:rRNA from 1 species